UACGGAGGGUGCGAGCGUUGUCCGGAAUCAUUGGGCGUAAAGGGCGCGUAGGUGGCCCGGUCAGUCCGUGGUGAAAGCGCGGGGCUCAACCCUGCGUCGGCCAUGGAUACUGCCGCGGCUCGAGCACUGUAGAGGCAGGCGGAAUUCCGGGUGUAGCGGUGGAAUGCGUAGAGAUCCGGAAGAACACCGGUGGCGAAGGCGGCCUGCUGGGCAGUUUAGCUGACACUGAGGCGCGACAGCGUGGGGAGCAAACAGG
rnacentral:rRNA from 1 species